AUUAAAAAGGAACAUUGCUUUUAGUCGUAUCAACACCACCACUGCACAUUGUCAUACUAUUACGGUUGCCCUCUCAUGUCAAGGUUGCGCAAUAUAAUAGCUAAAGUCACCAAAAUCAACCACCUGAGACAACUCCAUGCUCACCUCAUUCAUUACUCUCUUCACUGCCAAAGCUACUGGGUGGCCCUGCUCAUUAAUCUAUGCACGCGCCUCCAUGCUCCGCCGCCCUACACCCGUUACAUUUUCGAAUCAGCACAGGAACCGAACAUCUUUGUUUUCACCAGCAUGCUCAAGUACCAUUCCCAGUUGGGCGCCCAGAAUGAUGUUCUCCAAGUGUUUGCUGAAAUGCAGAAGUUUGGAGUGAGCCCCGAUGCGUUUGUCUACCCGAUACUGAUCAAAGCGACAGGGGAGGGUGGUGUUGUGUUCCACGCAAAGUUUAUUAAAAUGGGUAUUGAUUCCGAUAGGUUUAUACGCAAUGCCGUGAUGGAUAUGUAUGGAAAAUACGGGCCUAUUCAGGUUGCGAGGGAACUGUUUGAUGAAAUGCCUGAGAGGACUGUUGCAGAUUGGAAUUCGAUUAUUUCUGGAUACUGGAAUUGGAAGAAUGAGGUUGAAGCGCGGAGGAUGUUUGAUUUGAUGCCAGAGAAGAAUGUGAUUACUUGGACAGCGAUGGUGAGUGGGUACUCGAGAAUGAAGGAUUUGGUGAAUGCUAGGAGGUAUUUUAAUAAAAUGCCCGAGAAAAGCAUCGUUUCAUGGAAUGCAAUGCUUUCUGGCUAUGCUCAGAAUGGGUAUAAUGAGGAGGCAAUAAGGUUGUUCACUGAAAUGGUGAGUGUUGGAGUUAUUCCUGAUGAAACAACAUUGGUUACUGUUAUUUCUUCUUGUUCUUCAGAAGGUAUUCCUGCCCUUGCUGAGUGGCUUGUCAGGAUGAUCAACAAAAAGGGCAUUCAUUUGAAUUGUUUUGUCAAAACUGCACUUCUUGACAUGUAUGCUAAGCGUGGAAAUCUAGAGAUGGCUAGAAAGAUUUUUGAUGAGUUGGGUUCAUAUAGGAACUCUGUUACUUGGAAUGCAAUGAUUUCUGCAUAUGCAAGACACGGUGAUUUGGCUUUAGCUAAAGAACUCUUUGAUAGAAUGCCAGGGAGGAAUGUGGUGUCCUGGAAUUCUAUAAUAGCUGCUUAUGCACAGAAUGGACAAUCAAAAAUAGCAAUUGAUCUCUUCAAAGAGAUGAUUGAACAGGGAAUGAUUCCUGAUGAAGUAACUAUGCUUAGUGUAAUCUCAGCUUGCGGCCAUCUUGGGGCUUUGGAAUUUGGCAAAGAGGUGGUCAAUUUCCUGAUGAAGAACAAAAUUAAAUUGAACAUUUCGGGUUACAAUUCCUUGAUUUUCAUGUAUUCUAAGUGCGGAAGCAUGGAAGAUGCAAAAAUGGUGUUUCGAUCUUUGGAAACCAGAGAUGUGGUGUCCUAUAAUGCACUCAUUACAGGUUUGGCAGCUUAUGGUAAUGGCAAUGAAGCCCUUGAUUUUCUCUGGAAGAUGAAGGAAGAUAACCUUGAACCAGAUCGGAUAACGUAUACUGGAGUUCUAACAGCCUGCAGUCAUGCAGGAUUGGUGGAUGAUGGCCAAAGAAUUUUUGAAUCAAUCGAAUCUCCUGAUGUUGAUCAUUAUGCAUGCCUAGUGGACUUGUUAGGUAGAAAUGGCAAACUUGAUGAAGCAAAGGGGUGGAUUGAUAGAAUGCCACUGCAUCCUCAUGCUGGUGUAUAUGGUGCACUUUUAAAUGCUAGCUGUAUUCACAAAAGAAUUGAUCUUGGAGAGUUUGCAGCAACUAAACUCUUUGAGAUCGAACCAGAAAACUCAGGCAACUAUAUCUUGCUUUCUAAUAUAUAUGCUUCAGUAAGGAGGUGGGAAGAUGUAGAAAGAAUCAGAGGAUUGAUGAGUAAAGUGGGAAUUUUGAAGACAACUGGGUGGAGUUGGGUGGAACAUGAUGGCAAGAUGCACAAGUUCAUAGUCGGCGAUCAGUUGCAUGAGAAAUCAGAUGAUAUUUAUCGAGUACUUGGUGAGAUGGAAAACAAGAUGAGGCUUGCUGGAUACAUGGCUGACAAGAGCUGUGUUUUGAGAGACAUUGAGGAAGAAGAAAAGGAAGAAAUGAUAGGAAGCCAUAGCGAGAAAUUGGCUGUUGCUUUUGCAGUUCUAGUGACUGAACCGGGAUCUAUGAUACGAGUGGUAAAGAACCUCAGGAUCUGUAGGGAUUGUCACACUGCUAUAAAGAUCAUAUCAAAGUUAGAGAAAAGGGAGAUUAUUGUUAGGGACAACAAUAGGUUUCACUGCUUCAAAGAUGGGUUAUGUUCGUGCAAGGACUACUGGUAAUACUUGUGUUGCUUUGAACAUUUGGUAGCUGCACAUUGGAACAUGAUGUUAGAGCACAAAAGGCAUCAGUCUAGUGCCCCCACACCGUCUAGUUCUUCUUAUUAGAGCACAUAACAUUUUGCAAGCCUAUAAACUCCUAUUUGUGUUUAUAAUGAAAGUCAUCAACUCAUGCCUCUCAGAGCAUUCUGAGAUUGACACUAUGGUCUACAAUGCUGGGAUCUCUGCCACAAUAGAUACUCAAGUAUUUUUUGAAUUGAAAUGAUUCUUGCAAGAAAGGUGAAAUGAUUAAACUGUCAGCCAUCCAUUGUGUGAAGGUAAGAAAGAUUGGGCAAAGGCGUGAACGGACAAGGAAGGAGGCAAUUUGCAAGUGCAAUGAGUCAAGGAAGCACAAAAUGAAAGCAUAAGGACACGAAGCAAAUCAAGGAGCAGAAUUGGAGCUUAGGAGAAGAUCAAGAGGUGUGACCGUGACCUUCCCAGAGCAUUUUCUAAUCCCUAGGCUCCCGAUAACACUCAUUGCCAUGAGCAUCAGCGUGAGGCCGGGAAUCAGAAAGUUUCCUGGGAUGGUCACGGUCGCCCUCCCGACCGGGAGUUUGACCGGGACCAUGUGUCCAAAAUUUGUUGAGAUGGUUUCUUUGGUGCGAAUUGCAGAAUUGGAGGGUAUAAAUAAGCCUAGGCGGCUAAUUUUUAGCUUCUCUCUAGGCUUUCCUAAGGAGAAAACCUUUACACAACCUCUCUUCUUGUAAUCAUUCCAAAUUUGAUGAAGAAUUGGAGUUAAUUUUAGCUUGUAAUUCAUUUUGGUUUCAAUUUGAAGAUUGCAUUUUCCAUUGUUAUUGAUCAAA